UCCAGUUGGUAGCCAUGGUGACACAUGCCAU
rnacentral:piRNA from 1 species